rnacentral:misc_RNA from 1 species
UAACAAUCCAACAAACCAAUGAGGUCAUAGUAUAAUGGUCAACUGCUCACUAAACAGGUAAUUGCAGGUUUUAAGCCUUAUACUAGGUAUCCUUCACGUCAUGCAAAGCAGUAAACAAUGCAGGUUGAGAGACCUACUUCUGUGCGAAAAAUUUUGCCAAGAUAUACAUUACUUUAUUUACAGAAAUAUCAAAAAGAUUUGGAAAAACGACCUUGCUGGUAUCAAAUUCAAGAACAAAAGGAACAUGUCAUAGUAUAUCCAACGCUUGACGCUGACAGACACUGCUUGUGUUUAUGCUUUUUUCACUUUGGAAACUUGUUAAGACACUAUUAUAGUGAGGAAUUAUAUUCCAAUCAACAAGAAA